rnacentral:rRNA from 1 species
CGGAUAGAGCCAGCGGAUUGGCCUGUAUUCAGCCGCUCGACCAGGGCCGUAGUGCGCCGRCCUCGUCAAAGGGUCGGUGUGCGAUCGGCUCCGGCUGGAGCGGUGCAUUUUCAGGCGAGGUGCGCCGAGACUUGCGGGUUGGCGGUAGAAAACGUGCUGCAGAGGACCCCUUCACGGGGGAAACCUGUGCGCGGCAGAUGACUGUUCGACCUGCUCGUAGAGAGAGGGCCUGGCCCAUGCGGGUCCGUGUACGGUUGGUGUUGCCAACGAUGUUGUCCGCAUGCGGUACGCGUCGGUGGCGGCUCCGGCAGUGCCCGGAUUCCCGGGGUCCAAUCUCGGUGUGGAAGCUGGUCAUCUCUCCGACCCGUCUUGAAACACGGACCAAGGAGUUUAGCGUAUGCGCGAGCCAUUGGGUGCGAAACCCAGAGGCGCAAUGAAAGUGAAGGCGCUGUCGCAGUGCUGACACGCGAGCCCGGGGCACUCGCUGUCUUGGGCGCAGCGUGGUCCCGUUCUAGCCGCUUGCGGCGGGGCGGAGACAGAGCGUAUGCGCUGAG